UACGAAGGGUGCAAACGUUGCUCGGAAUUAUUGGGCGUGAAGCGCACGUAGGCGGCUUAGCAAGUCGGAAGUGAAAUCCCACGGCUCAACCAUGGAAGUGCUUUCGAAACUGCUGAGCUUGAGUACUUAAGAGGAUCGCGGAAUUCCCGGUGUAGAGGUGAAAUUCGUAGAUAUCGGGAGGAACACCAGUGGCGAAGGCGGCGAUCUGGGAAGAUACUGACGCUGAGGUGCGAAAGCGUGGGGAGCAAACAGG
rnacentral:rRNA from 1 species